CAUGGCUCAGAGUGAACGCUGGCGGCGUAGAUUAGGCAUGCAAGUCGAGCGAUACUUGGGUUGGAGAGAUUGAAGCCGCAAGGUGGAUGUCAAUUCGGCCUAAGAUAUAGCGGCAGACUGGCGAGGAAUACGCGAGUAAUCUACCCUUAAGUCGGGGAUAGCUUCGCGAAAGCGGAGGUAAUACCCGAUGUGUUUACCGGGGCGCAGGCUUCGGUAUGUAAAGACGGUCGCAAGAUUGUUGCUUAUGGUUGAGCUCGUGUCCUAUCAGCUUGUUGGUAGGGUAAUGGCCUACCAAGGCUUUUGACGGGUAGCUGGCCUGAGAGGGUGGUCAGCCGCAUGGGGACUGAGACACUGCCCCAACUCCUACGGGAGGCUGCAGUCGAGGAUAUUUAGCAAUGGGCGAAAGCCUGACUAUGUGACGCCGCGUGAGGGAUGAAGGUCUUCGGAUUGUAAACCUCUUUCGAUG
rnacentral:rRNA from 1 species